UACGGAGGGUGCAAGCGUUAAUCGGAAUUACUGGGCGUAAAGCGCACGCAGGUGGCUGAGUCAGUCGGAUGUGAAAGCCCUGGGCUUAACCUGGGAAUUGCAUUCGAUACUACUCGGCUAGAGUAUGGGAGAGGGAAGUGGAAUUCCCGGUGUAGCGGUGAAAUGCGCAGAUAUCGGGAGGAACACCUAUGGCGAAGGCAGCUCGCUGGGACGUUACUGACGCUGAGACGCGAAAGCGUGGGGAGCAAACAGG
rnacentral:rRNA from 1 species